AAAAGAUGGUUCUGCUAUCACUCUUGGAUGGACCUGCGGUGCAUUAGCUAGUUGGUAAGGUAACGGCUUACCAAGGCAAUGAUGCAUAGCCGAGUUGAGAGACUGAUCGGCCACAUUGGGACUGAGACACGGCCCAAACUCCUACGGGAGGCAGCAGUAGGGAAUCUUCCACAAUGGACGCAAGUCUGAUGGAGCAACGCCGCGUGAGUGAAGAAGGGUUUCGGCUCGUAAAGCUCUGUUGGUAGUGAAGAAAGAUAGAGGUAGUAACUGGCCUUUAUUUGACGGUAAUUACCUAGAAAGUCACGGCUAACUACGUGCCAGCAGCCGCGGUAAUACGUAGGUGGCAAGCGUUGUCCGGAUUUAUUGGGCGUAAAGCGAGUGCAGGCGGUUCAAUAAGUCUGAUGUGAAAGCCUUCGGCUCAACCGGAGAAUUGCACCAGAAACUGUUGAACUUGAGUGCAGAAGAGGAGAGUGGAACUCCAUGUGUAGCGGUGGAAUGCGUAGAUAUAUGGAAGAACACCAGUGGCGAAGGCGGCUCUCUGGUCUGCAACUGACGCUGAGGCUCGAAAGCAUGGGUAGCGAACAGGAUUAGAUACCCUGGUAGUCCAUGCCGUAAACGAUGAGUGCUAAGUGUUGGGAGGUUUCCGCCUCUCAGUGCUGC
rnacentral:rRNA from 1 species